rnacentral:ncRNA from 1 species
GUAAAAGGCUAGGGGUGCUUAUCAUGAAUAAGCUGAGAUUAAACCCUUUGAACCUGACUCUGGUUAACACCAGCGUAGGAAAGCCCUCAAACUUCCCU